ACGCGCGGAACCUUACCAUCCCUUGACUUGCCCGUCGCGGGCCGGGAGACCGGUCCUUCAGUUCGGCUGGACGGUGCACAGGUGCUGCAUGGCUGUCGUCAGCUCGUGUCGUGAGAUGUUGGGUUAAGUCCCCGCAACGAGCGCAACCCUCGCUGCUAGUUGCCAGCAUUCAGUUGGGCACUCUAGUGGAACCGCCGGUGAUAAGCCGGAGGAAGGUGGGGAUGACGUCAAGUCCUCAUGGCCCUUACGG
rnacentral:rRNA from 1 species